UAUCACUUUUCGGUGCCUCCGAAAUUUUAACGCCCACGGCACGCUGCUGCUAAUCGGAGGGGGCCACAACUGCGCACCUACCGAGGCCUCGGGGAGGCAGGCCCUUGGGCGCCAGGCCCUCCGGGUGGGGAGGUCAGCAGCCAAAGGCUCACUGCGUGACCUCUCCGUUGGGGAGGGGUUUGUACUUCCUCCUGAGGGCAAAGGGGGCCUGUGUCCGGUUUUUCAUUUGCUGAGCGGCAGCAAGGCUCUGUCUAAACACUCGCUCUCACUGGUACACCAGGAGUGUGCGCCCUUUCCAAGAAGCCGCCCAAGUCCCGGAGGUCCGGGGCGGCCCAGGAACCCGGUUUUGCCCGGCCCGCUGGCUGAGCGCUCUCCGGGCCUCAAGAAACGCGACACUUUUAUAAGGGCUUGGACGAGAUUUCUCUUGGAGGAGCCUCUCAGUCGGAUGCAGGUCUGGGCUAAUGUCACACGUGUCGCAGGAGCUGGGGAGCCGUCCCUGGGCCACACUGGCCGCGGUCAGCUAGCCUUUGUUUCCCCUACCCGACCCCCGCCCAGCGCUCACGUGGCCGGACAACAAAAUAUCAAAAUCACCUUUCUAAGGACCCAGCCUUGGUGAACAUAUUUGCCUAAUCAAAUGUCGAGUACACGCUCAGAAAAGAUUUUUGGACUUAUGAAAUUAUUUCUAUAAAAAUUCUUACCAAGAGACUCCUGGUGUCCUGUAUCCUGUCUGUCACACAGUCUUCAACCUCCCUACCAAGGAAAAAGAAUUUUUUAAGCUGGGAGAUGCCUGUGAGGCAGCAUUUCUGAUUCAUACAUCAGAACCAGAGGUGCAACUGGCAAAACUCCAGCCGAAGAAAGCGCGCGCCCCGCUCUGCGCAUGCCUGGACGAAUUUGUGCGCUGUGUGAUUCCCGGUCCGCUCCCACCCGGGCCUCAUGGAACCCAUCGUGGGUCUGCUUGACGGUCACCCCACAUCCGAGUGAUUCAAAACGAGAACAGUAACCCGUCUCAAGAAGAGACUUCAAACUUCCCUUUUGAGUCAACUGGAAAUUUGGACAAAACUUCUGUUGACAUUAUAUCUGCCCCUUUCACUUUCGGUGCACGGAGACGCACUGACAUUUCUGAAAGGAUGUGGCUCUUCCUAGUGUGGCAAACGAUACAUUCAUGCCUAUACACUUACAGGCAUGGUCUUUGUUCCUUGUCAUGAUCAAAUGCUCUGUUUUCUUGAUUCUCCAGCCAAAAGUAAUCCCCUUUUCUUUUCAACUCUUUCAGCACUCCAUUUUUUCUUGAUUCAGUUAACAAACACGCAGGCAUUGUUAUUCGACCAGGCACUGUUAUUUGUACCGGGUGGUGGUGGUCAGCAGGACCAAUUUAUUGGUCAAUAAAUUACGAUGAAAACCCCUGACUUCGUGGAGCUUGUAUUAUAUACAGGUAGACAGGCCCCAAACACAAAAAGCUAACGUGUAUAGUAUGUUACAGGUUGACAGGUCAUGGAGAAUAAAA